CAUGCAAAUGAGGGAGACAGUUUCCUGUUUAAAUCUGUGCCUCUCUCUGCCCAGGCUGCACCCGGAGACACAAUCCGCAGCCCCUGGGUCUGUGCAGUGACCAGCCAGUCCCUGAGAACUUUCCCCUCCAACACCAGGGAAAAUGGGAUUUUUGCUCCUUGUAAUUUUCGCUGCAGCCGCUUUGGAAGGUGCCCGGUCCCAGGUGCAGCUGGUGGAGUCCGGAGGGGAUGUGAAAAAACCCGGAGACUCUCUCCGCCUCUCCUGCAAAGCCUCCGGGUUCGACUUUGGGAGCUCCGGGAUGCAUUGGGUCCGACAGGCUCCCGGGAAGGGGCUGGAGUGGGUCUCACUCAUUUAUUGGGAUGGGAGCCAACAAUUUUACGCAGACUCAGUGAAAGGCCGAUUCACCAUCUCCAGAGACAACCCCAAAAACCUGCUGUAUCUGCAACUGACCGGCCUGAAGCCCGAGGACACCGCCCGGUAUCACUGUGCAAGAGACACAGUGAGGGGAAGCCGGGCUGAGUUCAGACAAGAACCUCCCCCUGCAGUGAUCAGAGAAGCGGGGACAAAUUCUGAGCCCACCCCCAACCUGCCGGGGAGUCACAGAUCCAUAGACAUAAAGGCCAGAACGGAGCAGGAUGAGAAACUAGUCUGA